rnacentral:lncRNA from 1 species
AGCAAGAAUAGGGGGACCAAAUGCACAAAUAGACCAUCUAAGGUCAGAAUGCGCAGAUCCCCCUCCCCCCAAACGGCACCAUUUUGCUUAUGUCUUAAAUUAACCAAAGGAAAAAAAAAUUGAAAUCAAAUCUGUUCCAUUUAAAAAAACAAAAAGAAAUCAAUUGCUGCUAGGGCUUUUCUCCUAACCCUCUUGCGCCGUCGAUCAUCUAUUCCCCCA